AUCCUUCGAAUUUAAUUGCUUUUCAUUUCAGUCAGCUUGACUCUUCUUAGUCAAACCCAAAGUAAAUCUUCACUAUACUAAUUCUACAAAAAAUUAAGCAGAAUCUCUAAUUUCAAAUACAUAGCGUCCCACGAUGAACGCCGGUUAUCUAUAUUUCGAAAAGGAAACCUCGGAAUAUUUUGAGAAUUUGAAUACAGGUACUAAUGACGGUACUUAUUUAUUUAUUUUAUUUUUACCGUUUCAACAACGAAAUCGCCUUGAUUUCCAAAUAACAAUUGAUUAAAAUAUAUGGCAGUCUUGAGUCUUUCCUUCCAUCAAAUUUGCACUUCGGUCAAAAAUGGCUUGAUAGGUAAAAUUUCUGAUCACGCAAGUAAUUGUGAUAACCGAAAUAAAGAACGCAAAACCUGAGUCCUUGCGGUUUCCCUAUACCGCUCCCUAAUCAAACAGCCAGGUAGAUAGCGAAUUUAACUCCAAUUAGUUAACACUAUCGAUAAGGAAGCGAAUUUAUUAUCAAAAUGGUUUUGACUAAUUGGGCACCUUUGAACUUCUAUUGUGCAAAGUUAAAAAUGUGCGGUACAAAGCAGUAAUUAAUUUUUGAUUGAUUGAGAUUCUGAUUGGAUAACGAAAAUAAAGAAACCGAUAUCGUUGCACCAUGUGUAAAAGGUACCGAGACGAAGGGGUAAAUCAAUCCGUUUGGUACCCAACACGAAAUGAAGUAUUUACGAAUUGAAGUAUUUCGUAACCUUCCCUGUGCUUUUAUGCGCAUCCGGAACAUAUGGCUUGUUCGGAAAUCUCUUUAAAAGAUGGGGUAUUGAUGUUGGUGGAUCAUUGGGAGUCGGUGGAACCGGUGUUGGAACAGGAUUGUCACUUGGUAGCCCCGACACUGAAAAAGGCACUGAUUAUUCUAAAGGAACCGGCGCUGGAGCUGGUGUAACUUUGAGCUUGGGUCCUUUUGGAAGUAUUAGAUUAGGCUUCGGUCUUGGUAGUGGCGAGAAAGGGGCCGAGGAAAAAGUCAACGAUCCAAAACAGGGUAUUUGGAGCUGGCUUCCCAGACAAGGCUAUGACAAUGCACCAGGAUUUGUUGUUGCAGUACAAGGAUUCGUGUCGAAAGUCCCACAAUUUACAGCCCUUGAAGCUGAAGAGAGUCCUGAGGUAUAAGCUAACGUCUUCAAUUCGAUCAAAAGUGACCCUAACCUUGUGAAUGACAUUCUGUCUUACGUAGCCACAUUAGGUGAUGAGGCAAAACAAUCCGUACUUUUCGUGUUGAAUACCGUCAUAAGCUCGGUUCCGGUGCGUAUUUUUGAUUGCACAUAGCGCUCACAAAACAGAAUUUUUACAUGCCGCUGACCUCGACAUGAGCACUUUCCCAUCUGCUGAUAGUGAUAUGAGGGUAAGUUGGAGUGGUAACCAAACAAUGCUUCACAAAUACACUUUCCGGAACAAUUCACCACGCUGCUUGAUAGCCUAGCCCCAAUUGCCAAGACAAAUCUUCGCUUCGCACUUUCCAUCCUCACUCCUCAACAACAACAAAAUGCUCUCUCACUCCUAGUAAGAGCAUAUGGAAGCCCUAUUGGUGCACCAGGGGUACAACUCAACAUUAGCUCAUCGUCCAUUCGAAACCUUCUUAAAGUGGUGAGCAGUAUGUAGACGUCACCUACUAGUGGAAGUCAAAGGAAUGGCAGAAUUACUCGAUUGAACCUAAGAUUAUGGAUAUACAAAUUUUCCCAGGGCAAUAGUCAUCCCGUAUAUCCCUCGUGCACGCCAAAUACCAGAUCUGAGUAUUUCAGGUAUUUGGCGUGCACUUUGGAUAUAAUAGUUGAAUAUUAGAUUUACUAAUAUUGUAACAGCUCUUACCAAUAAAUUAUGUUAUGACUUCACAAUA